AUUGCGAAUGCGAUGCGAAACGAGAUACUUGGAUCUGAUUGAUGUCAUGGAUAUUAUUCUUGGAUUAUGUCUGCUCGCAGAACCAGGGGAAUUUAAUUUCGUCGGUUCAGGCGUCAAUCGAACUGUUGUACCAUGUCGGCUAUAGUCUUCGAUUUCUCCAACUGGCCGUUCAAUCUCAUCCUCCAUAUUGGUCCUCCAUUUGUUCUGCAAUUUCAAAUAAGUAGAUUAUUCAAGCGUCGAUCAGCUAAACACCGAAGCCUCCAUCUUUUACCUGAAUGAUCUUCAAAAAUUCCUCACGAAACUCUUUGCUGCAGGAGAAAUAUAUGAAAACGUGAACAGCGAAAUUUGAAAGCUCCGUGACAGCUGCGAACGCGCGAAACAGAUGGUAACCAGUAUCCAGGGUCUCGUAAUUAUCAUACAAAAACGGGAGAACGAUCGACGGUAUCAUAGUCACUACAAAGCACGUCACUAUGACCGACAUUAGUGUAGCAAGACGCAAGAAGGAUCAUUCUGAGGGGUUUAAAGUUUCCAAGGUCGAUCGAAGGUCAACCGAAACUCGUCCCAAGUUUUUUCAAUAUCGGAUCUUCCUUCGAGCUAUCCGUGGAAGGGAUUUAAGGCUGCCGUGUGUUAAGUGAGAUAUAAUGGAGGGUGCACUCAACUAGAGCAAACAAGAGUUUCGAAUUUCACACCACUCGAAAGCCCGCCCCUCUGCCAGCUACGCUCAGUCCGGCUGGCUGACUAUAUAGCUACCUGUAGCCACGGUUGCGAGUCAGCAACGAUGUGUCGGGAAGAUUCGCGGUGCGGUACUUGUCAGAGACUGAUUGGAACUCCCUUUUCUUUCUGUUCAGAUGCAAGAAUCUCUUGACGACCGCGGUGUUCAGCAGAAGGAGGAUCAUGGUCGGGCAAAGCCGAGUCACGAUCUCCAUGAUCCAUAUGUACGCGUGCCACAGAGGAUGCCUCGUGAAGGAAACGUUCUCGCGCAACGUGAACCGAAUACCGGCGCCAUCCGGCUGUUCGUGGACCGUUCUCGUUCCAGUUAGCGGAGCACUGAUCUACGGAGUGACGUUAAUUGCGUUUAGAAUAACGAUUUCAUCGGUGAUUAUCAGCAUCGUCUUCUUAACCGUUCGAGUGCCACCGAUCGAAAUUGUUCUCUUCUGUUACGUAUAAAAAUUCUAGAUGGUUCCAG